rnacentral:rRNA from 1 species
UGGGGAAUAUUGCGCAAUGGGCGGAAGCCUGACGCAGCGACGCCGCGUGGGGGAUGACGGCCUUCGGGUUGUAAACCUCUUUCGCCAGGGACGAAGCGUGAGUGACGGUACCUGGAUAAGAAGCACCGGCCAACUACGUGCCAGCAGCCGCGGUAACACGUAGGGUGCGAGCGUUGUCCGGAAUUAUUGGGCGUAAAGAGCUCGUAGGCGGUCUGUCGCGUUGGUCGUGAAAACUUGGGGCUUAACCCUGAGCUUGCGGUCGAUACGGGCAUGACUGGAGUUCGGCAGGGGAGACUGGAAUUCCUGGUGUAGCGGUGAAAUGCGCAGAUAUCAGGAGGAACACCGGUGGCGAAGGCGGGUCUCUGGGCCGAUACUGACGCUGAGGAGCGAAAGCGUGGGGAGCGAACAGGAUUAGAUACCCUGGUAGUCCACGCCGUAAACGGUGGGCGCUAGGUGUGGGGGCCCAUUCCACGGUCUCUGUGCCGCAGCUAACGCAUUAAGCGCCCCGCCUGGGGAGUACGGCCGCAAGGCUAAAAC